rnacentral:miRNA from 1 species
UUUGGGCCAGGGGUCUGCAGAU